rnacentral:ncRNA from 2 species
AUCUUUGCAAAAAAUUAAGGUUGUGUUUUUAUCAACACAUUAAAAGGGAAUCAGGUUUAAAACCUGAGCUGUACCCGCAACUGUAAGCUAUAAAGCUUGUUGUAAACUACAAAACCACUGUUUGAAAGUGGGAAGUUAGAAACUAGGGAUUAGAAGUGAAAUACUUCUUAUUUCGUAGUUCAAUUUCUAAAUUCGAAUGGGAAGGUAAACAACAAGACGCAAGCCAGGAGACCUGCCUUUAUAAAUUAAUAUCG